rnacentral:rRNA from 1 species
UACGUAGGGGGCAAGCGUUGUCCGGAUUCAUUGGGCGUAAAGAGCUCGUAGGCGGUUCAGUAAGUCGGGUGUGAAAUCUCCGUGCUCAACACGGAGCGGCCACCUGAUACUGCUGUGACUCGAGUCCGGUAGGGGAGUGUGGAAUUCCUGGUGUAGCAGUGAAAUGCGUAGAUAUCAGGAGGAACACCGAUGGCGAAGGCAGGUCUCUGGGCUGACACUGACGCUCAUGCACGAAAGCGUGGGGAGCAAACAGG